CCUACCUUUAACUCUGGGAUAGCCCGAAGAAAUUCGGAUUAAUACCGGAUAAUAUCAAGAUAUGACAUCACAGCUUGAUUAAAGGCGCGAGUUGGUUAAAGAUGGGCAUGCGUCCCAUUAGUUAGUUGGGGAGGUAACGGCUCACCAAGGCGAUGAUGGGUAGGGGCUCUGAGAGGAUUACCCCCCACAUUGGUACUGAGACAGGGACCAAACUCCUACGGGAGGCAGCAGUGAGGAAUAUUGGGCAAUGGACGGAAGUCUGACCCAGCCAUGCCGCGUGCAGGAAGACGGCCUUAUGGGUUGUAAACUGCUUUUAUGUAGGGAAAAAGUUCAUAUUGCGAUAUGAUUUGAUGGUACUACAGGAAUAAGAAUCGGCUAACUCCGUGCCAGCAGCCGCGGUAAUACGGAGGAUUCGAGCGUUAUCCGGAUUUAUUGGGUUUAAAGGGUGCGCAGGCGGACUAUUAAGUCAGUGGUGAAAUUUUCCGGCUCAACCGGGACAGUGCCAUUGAUACUGAUAGACUAGAGUAUAAUUGACGUAUGUGGAAUGUAGCAUGUAGCGGUGAAAUGCAUAGAGAUGCUACAGAACACCGAUAGCGAAGGCAGCAUACGAAGCUAUAACUGACGCUCAUGCACGAAAGCGUGGGGAUCGAACAGGAUUAGAUACCCUGGUAGUCCACGCUGUAAACGAUGAUAACU
rnacentral:rRNA from 1 species